rnacentral:rRNA from 1 species
UCUGAGCGUAAACUCCUUUUCUUAGGGAAGAAUUCUGACGGUACCUAAGGAAUAAGCACCGGCUAACUCCGUGCCAGCAGCCGCGGUAAUACGGAGCGUGCAAGCGUUACUCGGAAUCACUGGGCGUAAAGGGCGCGUAGGCGGAUUAUCAAGUCUCUUGUGAAAUCUAAUGGCUUAACCAUUAAACUGCUUGGGAAACUGAUAGUCUAGAGUGAGGGAGAGGCAGAUGGAAUUGGUGGUGUAGGGGUAAAAUCCGUAGAUAUCACCAAGAAUACCCAUUGCGAAGGCGAUCUGCUGGAACUCAACUGACGCUAAGGCGCGAAAGCGUGGGGAGCAAACAGGAUUAGAUACCCUGGUAGUCCACGCCCUAAACGAUGUACACUAGUUGUUGGGGUGCUAGUCAUCUCAGUAAUGCAGCUAACGCAUUAAGUGUACCGCCUGGGGAGUACGGUCGCAAGAUUAAAACUCAAAGGAAUAGACGGGGACCCGCACAAGCGGUGGAGCAUGUGGUUUAAUUCGAAGAUACGCGAAGAACCUUACCUGGGCUUGAUAUCCUAAGAACCUUUUAGAGAUAAGAGGGUGCUAGCUUGCUAGAACUUAGAGACAGGUGCUGCACGGCUGUCGUCAGCUCGUGUCGUGAGAUGUUGGGUUAAGUCCCGCAACGAGCGCAACCCACGUAUUUAGUUGCUAACGGUUCGGCCGAGCACUCUAAAUAGACUGCCUUCGUAAGGAGGAGGAAGGUGUGGACGACGUCAAGUCAUCAUG